ensembl:processed_transcript Gm20536 predicted gene 20536
GAUAGAACAAUGCCAAUGGCUGUCUCUCAGAGCUCAGUUUUCUUGGGGGAGAUCAUGGAACAUCAGAAAUAUGUCACACUGCAGUUCCAAGAUGAGAGUGACAGUAAGCUAUCAGUGUGGAAUGGAAAAAGCCAAUCAAGUGUGUUGAAUCUAGGAAGAAACACUAUGCAUAUUCCAGACACAAAGACCUGAGCAAGCUGAAAGAAGGGGGAGCGCCCUCAAAAAGCUGUGACACACAGACACGAUGGGGGCAGAGGCAGAGGCAGAGGCAGUGCCGGGCAGUGAAGCCAAGGAGGAAUCUGUAGUCUAGAAUACAACAGACUGAAGCUUCAGACCAGAGAACAUUCUGGAAUGAUCAAUGUUUCCAAAACUCGUAAGAGCUGCUUUGCAGUUUCGUUCAACUCGGUACCCGCUGUCUCG